rnacentral:sRNA from 1 species
AAGUGGCUGAAUCCAAAGAGCCGGUGUAAGGAGUGAAAACCGGCCGCGCAGGAUAAGUGAGACGCCUCCCAGUGUCCUCCGGGCCUGCCUCAUAUUU